UGUUUAACAAAAAGUAAAUGUAUAUAAAGGUUAUAUACCAGUCUAUUACUUGUGCUAGAACCUACCUGUCAAUGCAGCUACGUUCCAAAUUGUCAUUAUUGAUAAACAAAUAUCAGAUAAUUCUUUCAAUAAAAAUGCAAACUGCUCGGUUUAUUGCCGUAAUUAACCUUUCAAUAGUCUUGCAAUUGUAGUAUUGCUGGUGUUAAAAGAGAAGUGGAAUACGUAUGUGAGAACAAUG